UACGGAGGGUGCGAGCGUUGUCCGGAAUCACUGGGCGUAAAGGGCGCGUAGGCGGCGCGAGCAGUCGGCGGUGAAAGCCCGGAGCUCAACUCCGGGUCGGCCGUCGAUACUCUCGUGCUUGAGCACUGUAGAGGCAGGUGGAAUUCCGGGUGUAGCGGUGGAAUGCGUAGAGAUCCGGAAGAACACCGGUGGCGAAGGCGGCCUGCUGGGCA
rnacentral:rRNA from 1 species